rnacentral:rRNA from 1 species
UACGAAGGGGGCUAGCGUUGUUCGGAAUUACUGGGCGUAAAGCGCGCGCAGGCGGCUAUCCAAGUCAGUGGUGAAAGCCCGGAGCUCAACUCCGGAACUGCCAUUGAAACUGUUUAGCUUGAGGACGAGAGAGGUGAGUGGAAUUCCCAGUGUAGAGGUGAAAUUCGUAGAUAUUGGGAAGAACACCGGUGGCGAAGGCGGCUCACUGGCCUCGUUUCUGACGCUCAGGCGCGACAGCGUGGGGAUCAAACAGG